UGGGCGAAAGCCUGAUCCAGCAAUGCCGCGUGAGUGAUGAAGGCCUUAGGGUUGUAAAGCUCUUUUGAUAGGGAAGAACACAAUGACGGUACCUAUCGAAUCAGCAUCGGCUAACUCCGUGCCAGCAGCCGCGGUAAUAAUCA
rnacentral:rRNA from 1 species